UUUCCGUAGGUGAACCUGCGGAAGGAUCAUUAUUGUAACCGAGGUGUCGAUCGAAAGGUCGCGCCUCAAAACCAAACCACUGUGAACAACCGGCGUCGCCGUCACGCGGCGCCAAUCUUUGCACCUGUCGUUACUAUGUCCAGAAAGUAAUACAAAAGAGUACAACUCUCAACGAUGGAUCUCUUGGCUCUCGCAUCGAUGAAGAACGCAGC
rnacentral:misc_RNA from 1 species